rnacentral:rRNA from 1 species
ACAAGCGGAGGAGCAUGUGGUUUAAUUCGAUGAUACGCGAGGAACCUUACCUGGGCUCGAACGUAAGAUGACUGUAGGUGAAAGCUUACAUCUCUUCGGAGCAGUUUUACGAGGUGCUGCAUGGUUGUCGUCAGCUCGUGCCGUGAGGUGUCCGGGUUAAGUCCCAUAACGAGCGCAACCCUACCUUUAGUUGCCAUCAGGUUAAGCUGGGGACUCUAAAGGAACUGCCUACGCAAGUAGUGAGGAAGGCGGGGAUGACGUCAAAUCAGCACGGCCUUACGUCCAGGGCUACACACGUGCUACAAUGGCCGAUACAGAGGGCAGCUACCUGGUGACAGGAUGCAAAUCUCCAAAAGUCGGUCUCAGUUCGGAUCGGAGUCUGCAACCCGACUCCGUGAAGUUGGAUUCGCUAGUAAUCGCGCAUCAGCCAUGGCGCGGUGAAUACGUUCCCGGGCCUU